rnacentral:lncRNA from 1 species
GUUUAAAUUAGUUGUCUUCUGAAUUUCUUAAUGAAUCUGAUUUUUAAAAAUUCCUUUUGCAGGAUUCAGCUUCAGUUUAUCCUAUUCACAUUCUUAAAUUGCUUUGGUGUUAUCAUGAAUCUAAAGUGAAGUUUUAGAUUCUGCUUAGUCCUGAGAACUUUUAUAUUAAUGUAAAAGAUUGCUCUGGUAUUAAAUUUAAAAGCAGCUGUCUUCUCACUUGAUGCCUACAAAUAAUUCUUUAGGUAAAAAUAAUGUCGAUUUUAUUAUACUUUUGACCUAUUUAGCUUGAUAGCUAGCAUAUUUAAGAAUGUCCAUAAAAGAAAUGCGGACUUCUAAGGAAUUUUCUUUUAAAAAUAACUUGCUGAAAUAAUUCAAUUAGCGAAGACUAAUUUUGGUUGAAAUUUAUUAUUUAGAUAAUAAUAUAAUUUAUAUAUUAUUUAGGUAGUAUCUAGUUUUCUGUUUUUGGUGUUUGUUCACAAAGAUUGAGCAAUUUAUAAGGUAAAAUAGUAGAGACAGUGGAGAACAUACUGAAAAUUUAAAAUACUCUCUAACUGGUAGGAAAAGAGGUUGAAUUUAGUAUUUUUUGCUAUUCAUUUCAUCCAUAUAAUGUGUUAUUACUUGGAAUGGAACUGGUUAGUGAGCCUUAGUUAACAUGCUGAGUGGACAAAUUUUCAGCAGGGUUUCUUCCACUAGGCUGCUUGUUUUUUAUGGAAGACCUUCUUUAGAAGGAAGCACAAUUAUAUUGGUUAGCUGACAUAUGAAUUACUUCUGCAUUACUCACCCACCUAUUACCUUUUCUCUCAAGUUUUAUCUAUCUGGAUGAUUGUUGAUUUUGAAUACUGUAGCCAUGGGAAGUAAGCAGUUGAGGACUUUCUUUUUGCAUCUUUGUAUUUACCAUUUCUCUUUUCAAGAAGUCAAAUGCUGGAAGUCUGGUGCUUUGGUGCAUGCCUGGUAGUUUAGCUAUUGCACAGACUGAAGCAGGAGGAUCAUUGGGGCCGAGGAGUUUGGGGCCAUUCUGGGGAGCAUAACUAGAUCCUCUCUUUAAAAAAAAAGAAGGAAAAAAAUCCAUUCUGUGGAUUAUUAGAAACUAGGCAGUAAUCACAGUGCCUGCUUUACAUGCUCAAAAACAUGGUUGGGAGAAGUCCCUUUCAAGGAACUGCUAAUGGCCUUCCUCUUUCAGAACAGUAUUGACCCAUGAUCAUAUUUUUCUGAAAUCUAAAGAGAAUUCUGAUACCUUGCUUUCAGUCUUCUAUUUUUCUUCCCAUACAUAAUUUAAGUUUCAUUAUUGCAUAAUGUUUCAAAUUAUGACCUUGAUUGAAGGAAGUGAAUUUUUUCUUCAAAGACUUUCUAUUAGAUGAACAUCAGCAUCUCGAGUAGAACAAAACUGAAGAAUGAGGCAACUUUAAACGUAUUUAGAUGAAUGCUUUUAAAGCUUAGAAAGGACAUUAGGUGUGUGUAAUGCACCUAUAUUUAAUCCUUUAAAUAAACUUUGAUUUUUUUUAAUUGAGAUGUUGGCUUCUGUCAGCCUGACUAAAUUAAUUCCUUACAUUAAACUGAUUUUCCCCCUGGCAGCUGAUUGCAUUGUUCCUGUAGGUGAAGCUCUGUAAAAGUGAGCUCACAAGGUUAAAUGUGAAUGUUCUCAAAGGUAUACAGCUCGUUUCAAGAAGAAUGUUAAUGCCUGCUUUAAAAUCAAUCAUGCAAAGCCAAUUUGGGGUUGCAAGGUAUGACCCUUUGGGAAACCAGGUUUUCUUGUAAGGCACUAAUCCUUAGUGUGCUGGUUGAAGAAAUAAAAUGUCUUUAAAGAAGGAUAAAGGUGAAAUCAAUUAGAAAAUACUAUUUUCCCACAAUCUAUUAGCAAAUGUUAUUUCAUUUUAAGCAAUACUAGUUGUUAUAAUCCUGCUUCAUUUCUCCCUAUUCUCCUUUUGGAAUAUUAUAAGGAUAUUUCAGGAAUAAUUUGCAAAAGUAUGAGAUGACUAUUAUCUGACAUUUGCAGACUUAUAUCACUAACAUAUUGUCUGCUAUUUUUUUAAAAUUGUGAUAUACCAUUUAUGAGAUAUUCAGUUUACAGAAUUUGAAGUUAGACUUCUAUUUUAAUGUCUUUCAUGUUCUUAGAAUUCCAUUUAGAUAAACUGGUACUUUUUUUUUAUGUAGACUGGGAAUUUUUAGACAAUAUCUGUCAUUUUUUUAUAAUAUCAGCCUUAUUUGCUCGGACAAUAAUUAAUAAUACCGUGUUCCAUGGGUGUGCUAUUUGUGGUUUGCACACAGCAAAUUUUCCUUUAGAUCUCCAGAGCCUUUAAUAAAUAGAACAGAGAGGUUCAUUAUAAAUUAGAAACAAAUGACUUUUGAAAGUGUGCAUUUUAAUAUGGAGCUUUUUCUGUUUUGCUAUCAGGAGUAAAGAUUGUCUAAUGAUUUGAGCAUUUAUUUUACCUUUAACUCAUAUUUGAUUACUGCAUUUUCAUUCAUUUUUUGGGUACGUAAAACUUCGUGGUUUAUAUAUCUUAAAAACUAUCAUUUUAAUGUCACUACAUUUUGAAAAUAAUACUUUCCUAUACUCAAUAUGUAUUAUUAACCCUUAGAUGCCAAAUAAUGAAAUUAGUGACCUAUCUUUAGGGAAAAGUUACAUAUGAAAAGUUAUUAAUACUCUGAUUAGGCAUAUUUGCUGAAAUAUUAAUGUGCAUGGCAACAUCUCCAGUGAGACCAUUUUUAAUUUAUAAUGACAAAAAUGGGAUUUUUAUUUUUGAGUUAGGGGUUUGGGGCAGGGAAGCACUUUGAAGACAACAUUUUCUUCAUACAUUUUUUAGAAAAGUAAAACUUCCAAACUGGAACUUUUAAACAAGUCAUUUCAUGAAAUUUUUAGUUUUUAAUUUAGUAUGUGGUUUCUUUCUUAAGAGCUACUUUUAUUAACUUUCAUUAGAUCCUUGCGUGCUAAGCAUUCAGUAUUUUUCUACUUGGUUUUCCUGUGCCUAGUUUUAAUUAUGAUAAGUAAUAAUAAAGUCAGUCAUGUGAAAGUAUCUAUUAAUUUCAGUGGAUCCUUGCAAGGCAGGCAGAAAAUUUCUGUUCCAAGAGUCUUAUUUUUGGACCCCAGGUGAAAAUAGUGCUUUAGAUUUUUACUACCAAUAUUUGCUUACUUGGAAUAGCUCUUAUAUUAAUUUUUCUUAUGAAAAAAUCCAAUGUCAAUUAGUUAUACCAUGUAGGAUCCAAAGCAAAACUAUUGAAUGUUAUGAUUGUCUUAAUUAUUUGGAAAUAAAGCAUAACCCAUUAAAUUCUUUUGACCUUUGUAGUAGUGUUAUGAUAUACAGGCACUCCUUGACUUAUGAUGGUGUUAUUUCCAAUAAGCCUGUUAUAAUUUGAUACUAAGUUGAAAAUGUAUUUAAUACGUCUAACCUGUUAAACUUCAUAGCUUAGCAGCAUGUUACAUUGCAGAUCAUCAGUUUACCCUGCAUUGCUGACUGGGAACUGUGGUUUUGCUGCUGCUGCCCAGGAUCAAGAUAGUUAUACUGCAGAUAGCAAGCCUGAGAAAAUAUCAGAAUGCAAAAUUGGAAAUACUGAAUGUGUAUUGCUUUCCCACUGUCAUAAAAUCUAAAAGUUGUUAAGUCCAGUCACGUUAAGUUGGGGACUGUCUUUAUUUUAAUAAGCAUGUUCCAAAUAAAACUUCAGGGAGACAGCAAACUCCCAAAUUUAAGCUUGUAUCAGCACAUCACUUGGCAAUCUUGUUAAACAGAUUCCUAGGGUCACCCUAGAGUUGAUGGUUUAGUUUUACUGAGGUUGUGCCUGGGAAUUUGCAUUGCUGACAAGUGUCCAGGUGAUGCCUCAUUCCCAAGGUCACAUUCUUGUGAGUUGUUACUCUGCAGGAGAGUAUUAGUUGAAUUCCUUCUCUUCCCUAUUAGCAAACUUAUUUGGGGGAAAUUAUUUAAAACAGUAGACCUACAUUUCUUAGCUGUGAGAUUCAUGUUAAUGUUACCUGCCUAGAAUUGUGAAAAGUGAAAAAAUGCUCAACCCAGCAUAGCUGGGUACUUGAAAAAUGCUGACUACUUUGGUCAGUCUUCCCUUACUAUCCUCCACUGUAAAGUGAGGAGCUAAAGUCAAUAUCUUACAAGGUUUCUCUCAGCUGUAACAUUCUGUGAUUCUAAACCUAUGUGUGUUUAGUGCUUUAUACAGAGUGGUAAUAAUAGAGACCAUUGUUUUUUUUUUUUCUUUUAUUAGAACAUCUAGACGAUAAAAAGUUUUUAGUCUAAUUUAUAAGGCAGUAUAUUUAAGAAAUAUUUGAGUACAGUUUGAAUCUACCACAUUUUUAUGGAAGCUGAAACUUAGAGUUAUUGGCUUUAUUAGACUCUUUGGUGUGUGGUAUCCUAGUGACCUAAUGCAUGUUCACAAUAUGUGGUUUUCUUCACUGCUUGAUUUUAGCAUAAAAUCAAGGGUCAGAUCAUCAGUUUACCCUGCAUCGCUGACUGGGAACUGUGAUUUUGCUGCUGCUGCCCAGGAUCAAGAUAGUUAUACUGCAGAUCGCUAGCCUAAGAAAAUAUCAGAAUACAAAAUUGGAAAUACUGAAUGUGAAGCAAAUCCAAGCUAAUGAUUUAAUAUAGCAUCAUUUUCCAGUGUUUUAUUUAAAAAUCACCAUUAAGGUAUUCACUAUUUUUAAUUUAUAAUCUUAAAAAUCAUGGGUACUAAGACUACCAGGCUUAAAUACUAAUAGAUUUUCUCAUCUUUUAAUUCUAUUUCUUUACAAAAUGAAAAUAAUCACCAUCAGGCUCCUUUUGCCUUUCCCCAGAUCUGCUCUACUGUAAAUAUGGUAAAGAGCAUACACAGUGAAAAGCAUAUGUAAGAUUGAGGUCUGAAGACAUGGAACUUUAGUAUUAUGCAUCCAGAAUGGUCUCCUUGAAGUACAGACAGCUGGGUGUUUGCAGAAAGAGUACCAGUGACUUGAAUGGAAGGCUUUCCCCACACAUUGGACCCUGCAAUUACAUUUGGAAUAUGUUUUUUUUUUUUUAAAUCUAAGUAAACAGUCUACAAUGAAUGUAGACAGACAUUAAAAAUGCUUAUUCUCUUUAUUAGGAUAAUGUGAAAUAUCUAAUAAUGCCAAAAAAUUUAGAAAUUCCAGAAUUCAAUGUAGGGCAAAAGUUUUAAUCUGAGAUGAGUCUUAAAAUUAGUAAUAGAAGUUAGAUAACAAUACUUGUGUGGGACCUAGUGUGCAUUUAUUUGUAGUCAUAUAUCUUUUGAAGACUUUCAUGUAGGAAACAUCUUGGAUUUUUUAGUACAUCUUUAAUCCUCUUUGAUGAAUAAAUUAAAGCUGAAUUUGUCAAAUGUUAGCAUACUGUGACUCAUAUAAGACAAAAGUGCAUCAUUCUGGUCAAGUUGCCACAUAAGUUUUACCUGAUAGGUCUAUAUUGAGUAAUCAAUGGCUAUAUGUGAAUACUCCCAGGAACGGUGAUGGUUAGUACAGAAUUCAAGUCAGCUCAAUUACCAGACCCAAAAGGCCAGAGGUAAUGAAAGAAGAUGAAAUGUUUAUGAUAAAACAGUGUUUGAGAUAUUUAUUGCCUUGGUGUGAGUAAUUUAAUGCAGGUUUUUAGCCUCAAUUUUGUGAUAAAACAAUUUUAUUCCUCAUCUACUUAAUAAGAUGAAUAUUUUCAGAUUCUGGGGGAUUUAAAAUUUAAACAAUUUUUUAAAAAUUAAUUGUAAUUGCUACUUAAUUUUACUAGUUAGCUUCUGAUUUAGGGCCAAAACUGUCCUGGUUUGGGAUGCAAUUUGAAGUAUUGCUUAUUUUUAUAUGUACAGUAUCGGAAACAUUAUUUUACAGACUAUGAAUAGCCAAAUGUGAAAUAUAAGUUAUUUUAAUACAUUAUUUGUACAAAAUCAUUUGUAUAUUUUAUCCUAUUUUCUAUCAGUAAAAGAAUGCAAAAACUUCAGAUUUGUGCAAACAAGUAAUUUGACUUCGAAAGUUUCCUUGUAUUAAAACAUUUCAAUUUAAUCUUUUUUUAAUUAUUUAUUUAUUCUAAUUAGGUAUACAUGACAGGAGAAUGCAUUUUGAUUAAUUGUACACGAUUGCAGUACAACUUUUCAUUUCUCUGGUUGUACACGAUAUAGCAUCGCACCAUAUGUGCGGUCAUACAAGUACCUAGGGUAAUGAUGUCUAUCUCAUUCACCAUCUUUCCUGCCCCCAUGCCCUCCUCCUCUCUCUCCGCCCUUUACCCAAUCAACAGUUCUUUCAUUUUUCCCACUUCCCACCCUACCCCAUUAUGGAUCAAUAUCCACUUAUCAGAGAGAACAUUCAGCUUUUGUUUUUUGGGGAUUGGCUUACUUCAUUUAGCAUGAUAGUCUUCAACUCCAUCCAUUUACCAUCAAAUGCCAUAAUUUUAUUCUCUUUUAAUGCUGAGCAAUAUUUCAUUGUGUAUAUAUCACCAUUUUUUUAAUCCAUUCAUCUAUUGAAGGGCAUCUAGGUUGGUUACACAGUUUAGCUAUUGUGAAUUGAGCUGCACAUUAAUGUGGCUGUGUCACUAUAGUAUGCUGAUUUUAAAUCCUUUGGGUAUAGACUGAGGAGUGGGAUAGCUAGGUCAAAUGAUGCUUUCUUUCCAGGUUUUCUGAGGAAUCUCCAUACUGCUUUCCAGAGUGGUUGAACCAAUUUGUGGUUGCACCACCAGCAAUGUAUGAGUGUACCUUUCCCCCCACAUCCUUGCUAACACUUAUUGUUGUUUGUAUUCUUGAUAACUGCGAUUCUGACUAGAGUGAGAUGAAAUCUUAGUGUAGUUUUGAUUUGCAUUUCUCUAAUUGCUAGAGAUGUCGAACAUUUUUUCAUGUAUUUGUUGAUCGACUAUGUAUCUUCUUCUGAGAAGUUUCUGUUCAGCUCCUUAGCCUAUUUAUUGACUGGGUUGU